UACGUAGGGGGCUAGCGUUGUCCGGAUUUAUUGGGCGUAAGCGCGUGUAGGCGGCCCGGUAAGUCCGCUGUGAAAGUCCAGGGCUCAACCCUGGGAUGCCGGUGGAUACUGUCGGGCUCGAGUCCGGAAGAGGCGAGUGGAAUUCCUGGUGUAGCGGUGAAAUGCGCAGAUAUCAGGAGGAACACCAAUGGCGAAGGCAGCUCGCUGGGACGUGACUGACGCUGAGACGCGAAAGCGUGGGAG
rnacentral:rRNA from 1 species